UGACACUAAAGCUUCACAGCCCACACUUGCCCCAACCUCUUCCAAACCUCUGGAUGUAAUUUUAUUAUCCUCUCUCACCGCUCACCUUUGCAAAGUCUGUGCUCUGUGAGGCGGGGGACGGAUAAGAGAAAAAAAACCUGCUCACGUGUUAGCUGCUGACUCUGAGGGACUGGAAAAUGUGACAGGACGCCGGGGGAUCAAGGAGUAUACCUGAACCCCCAGUGACUGGCACAGUGCCCAGCAACCCAGUAAGCUCCUAGGGUGUGUUUGUUGAUUGAAUAAAUGGACCAAGAAACCUGUAGGUUUUGCCUAUGGGGAGCCUGCCAAAACUGUCCUGGAUGGCUGGUAAGCAAAGCAGUGAUGGGAAUCCUCCUUUAAAAGGAUUGGUGGCAGUAUUUUAUAUGGUUUGGUUUCUUUUAUUCAAGACUUUUUAAGUUCUGAAAUAGAGCAUCGAAAAAGUGCACAAACAAAGGUGCACAAUUUCAUCAAUAAAUAUAAAGCAAACA